CGCCAACAUUUGAAAAGAAUACCGUUUGCGUUGCGUUGCAGUUUAUUGAGCUCGAUCGAGAAGUGGGACGAAGAAGGCCGUUAAUAAUUCAACUACUUAAAGAAUGCGGGUUAGAUGUGGACGACUUCGAAGACAUUUGCAGUAGGCUAAACAGAGAAAGAGAGGGAGACCCAAAACUACUUGUCCUGGCAUCACAUUUGAGGAGGAGAUGAAGUCGGUGAAUAUGACCUAGCCCGGGGGAGUUUCCAGAAGACGGCCCAGAACCACUGGCCGCCAGGAGUGGAGGUCCUUUGUUGUUGCUCUACAUGUCAGGAGGCAUCGGGCAGUAGCCCUGGUAGAAGCACCAUCUUGAUACCAUCAUUCAAACUCUCAUCAGCUGUAUCAUUAUAGGUGGACUAAAAGAACAAUAUUCAUGCAGAUAUAAUGAUGCCUUAAGUUGAAAUGGAAGGUGUCCUGAAUCUGCACCCAUUCAUCUGGUUUCGUAACUCCUUUCAUAGUGCUAUUGGAACCUGCUCCCUACCAGUAUAACAUCAAACAGAUUGGAAGAAUAAAGGCCAAUGGGAAGUGCCUUUUAUAUUUGUACUUGCCACAAAGCAGUCCAUGGUUUAGCGCUAUCUAAACUGGACUAUUGUAAUGCUCUUCGUGCUUGAAUUAGGGCGAUCUGGACUGACUGCAUAUAGUACAGAAUGCUGCAUCUAUUGUGCCAUUUGCCAUACGCCAACUUCGCUGGCUGCAAGUCAAGGAAAGGAUAUACAUGAACAUCAGUGUCCGUCUCCUGAUUUUCAAAGUCAUUGACAGAGAUCCAGAUUACAUGUUUUAUAAGGAAUCCCUUGUGCAUCAUUUUCAUUCUAGGCGCACUUGCCUUUUUAUUUUUGUGAUCAUUACGCACCUACGAAUUAGCUACUGGUGAUGCAACUUUCUCCACUUCUGCUCCAAGGCCGUGAAAUUAGCUCCUUCCUCUCCUCCAGUUGUCAACAACCUUGGAUCAAUCCAAAUACAAUUUGAGAAGACCUACCAUCCUGAUCUUUGCUCUGUACUUACAACAAUACUGUCACUGUCUGGUAAUUUGAAUUUUUUUAAAUCUCAUGCGCUUUGUAUCUCGCAAAAUAACGUGUUGUGUAAAAGCGAACAUGCAUUGAGGUCAAGUUUAAGGGUAACCAUGGAUAUUGCCUUUUAUUACUUUUUAACAAAACUGAAAAAUUCAUCCAAAUUAGACAAGGGAUAAUAAAGUAAUGUAUGACAUUCUAACCUCUGCAUUAUUUUGGUGAAAGAGCUCUAAGCAUAUAUGCAAGUAGCAAGCUGAUGAUGUCAUACUGACGUACAUUGUACAUGUACACGUAUCCCCAACUUAUUAUUUUGUAUAUAAAAUUGUGCAUUUAAUUUUGUUUACCAAGAAUGAAACAAAUCGGAUUGUAAACUGUAUUGAUGUGACUUACCUGUAUUGAUUAUUGCUGGAAGUUCUUUUGCUACAUGGGAUUGGAAGACAUACUUAUUACACACAUGAAGUAAAUUAUUAUUUUAUCUGGUAACAUGAGAACAAUAAAAAUGUGGGCAUGAUAUCAUAAACUUACAUGUAUCUACUUGCAUGUGUUGAUGACCAAUAUUUUUGUAAUUAUUUUUUUUAAAAUUUUAUCUGAUUUUGAUAAAAUUUUCACUAUUUUGCAUGGUAAAAAUUACUUUAUUUUAGAUUAUGUUGAGCCCGUAUCAUAUACAAGUACAACUUUAAAGAUAAAUUACCAGUUGUAGUAACAAUCUUAAAAUUAGUUCGAACAGAAUCCAAUAGAAUUACCAGCAAAAUAUAAAAGACAUGUGCCAUAAUUAAUUAUAGCUCGGGAAGAAAAUGUGUAAUUGCUGAGAAAUGAGCAAAAUAAGCAUGUAAUUCUAUCCAAUGUCAGGUAUUUUUCAAAUCAAUCAUAAUACACUGUCCUGUCCCACAUGUUCUUUUCUGUGUUAGUGAUCAUCAAAAUAAUUAAUUUUAAGUUCAAAAUUAGUGAUUUUACAAAAAUACAAGCUUACAUUAAUGUACCAGAUCUAGAGAUUAUGUACAAUAUUUUGACAAUUUCUCAUGAAAUAAUUGUUUGCUGCAACUGCUGUCUUUUUAAUACGUUUAAGUGAUAGUGUAAUACAACCACAAACUUUUCUUAAGAAUUAAUGUACAUGUAUGAUUCUUUCACCCAAAUUUACAUGCAUUGAUACUGUUGACUACUUGCCAAAAGUUCCUGCCAAAAGCCUUUUUUAACGUUGUACAUGCUUUUAUAGACGACCUGCCAAAACAUUGUAUUGUAUUAUAUUCAAGGUCCAACCAAAAAGAGAUGAAUAAAAUGUUUGAAGGAAAUUGAAAUUAACUUUAAAAAUGAUAGAUCUCUGUCAAUGCAGUAUUAUUACAGGGUUCCCACAGUCAUGGAAAAUCCUGGAAAAAAAUUGGUCAUGGAAAGUCAGGGAUAUGUGAAAAGUCAUGGAAUUGCAUUUACCUCUUGGCUAUGACAGCUUUCUAGUUUUUUAUGUCUCACAACUCUCAUACUCUGUGAUUGUACUCUACUAUUAUAAUUGGUGUUCAUGAUCAUAACAUGUCUGAUUUUGUAAACUGUGCCAGAAAGGAAUUAAGUCAUGGAAAGCAGCAAUUUUAAUAGUCAUGGAGAGGUCAUGGAAUUCUGUUUUCAAAUUUCUGUGGGAACCAUGAAUAGGUUUGUGCACUUGACACAGUGUGCACUACAGAUGAACUUUGUAAUGCCAUGAUAUAAACCAGUACAAUAUCUUAAAGGAAAAUAAAACCCAAAAUAUAAUACCACAUGAUACCAUUGAUAAAUACAGGACAAUGAAAAUGAAUCCACUCAUAUACCCCCAAUCCGAUGUCCCAGUAUGGAGUACCACCUUUUCAAAGUUGGCAUCUUCUGGUACAAAGUCUAUGGAUGGGGAUUAUUCCGUCAGCGACGAACUACAUCUCUAAACGUUUGGGCAUUAUAUAUUCUAUUUCAUCGAUAAUAAAUCAAAUGUACAGAUAAAACUCAUAAAAUAUUAAUUAAAAUUUGUUUAAUAUUAUAUGAUAGGUUCAAAUUACGACUUGAUGAGUUUUAAUGAUAAAAAUUACACCCUAAUCUACGAUUUACAAAUUGGCAGCGGAAAUUGGGGUGUAAAUCUUAUCAUUAAAACUCAUCAAAUUGUAUUUUGAACCUACCAUAUAUUAAACAAAUUUAACUAAUAUUUUUAUGAGUUUUAUCUGUACAUUUGAUUUGUUAUUGAUAAAAUAGAAUAUAUAAUGCCUAAACGUUUAGAGAUGUAGUUCGUCGCUGAUGUAAUAAUUUCCUAACUAACCCCGCGAAAAUGGCGACCUCCAUCCAGAAACUUCGAACCAUACUGUAAGAGGCCAACUUUGAAAAGGUGGUACUCCGUAAUUGGAUUAGGGUAUGAGUGGAUUCAUGUUGAUUGUCCUGUAUUUAUCAAUAAUAUCAUGUGGUAUUAUGUUUUGGGUGUUAUUUUCCUUUAAUUCAGAUAUUACAUGCCAGGGUAUUGUCCUAGUUUUCAUUUUCUCCAAAUACAUAUUAUCAUCUCUCGUCUAUUUCUACUUGCCCUUCAGCCUUGAAGUAAACUUGGGAUAAUUAUGCAUUUUGUUAUACGCAAUUUUGAGUACAGUGCACUUUGCCGCAGCUACUUAUAUGAUAUUACCUAUUGUAGACACAUCCUUAUGUUUUGUUCAUUUUCUUAAAAACGAUUAAGAGUUUAAUCAUUUUUGUCUUUAAGCAUAAAACAAAGAGUAAAUCAGUCCAUUCUGUAUGUGUGACCUGCAAAAAAACUACAAUGGUCGUUAAUUUGGUUUGCUGAAAAGCCAGAUAACCUUUGAGGUAACUUUUUAAAGUAUUUAGAAGAAAUGUAUCUUUUUUAAAAGUAUUUAUAUGCACUGUAACUAAUUUCUUUGAUAGUUACUAUUAUGUUACACUGUUUGUACAGUAAAGCAGCUGUUACACAAUUUUUGUCAAUAGCAAAUCUAAACCAGUAUUGUAAAUUGAUGACUCUAUGAGCUAAAUACCAGUACUUUCUAUAUCA